AGUGAACGCUGGCGGUAGGCCUAACACAUGCAAGUCGAACGGCAGCACAGGAGAGCUUGCUCUCUGGGUGGCGAGUGGCGGACGGGUGAGGAAUACAUCGGAAUCUACUCUGUCGUGGGGGAUAACGUAGGGAAACUUACGCUAAUACCGCAUACUACCUACGGGUGAAAGCAGGGGACCUUCGGGCCUUGCGCGAUUGAAUGAGCCGAGGUCGGAUUAGCUAGUUGGCGGGGUAAAGGCCCACCAAGGCGACGAUCCGUAGCUGGUCUGAGAGGAUGAUCAGCCACACUGGAACUGAGACACGGUCCAGACUCCUACGGGAGGCAGCAGUGGGGAAUAUUGGACAAUGGGCGCAAGCCUGAUCCAGCCAUACCGCGUGGGUGAAGAAGGCCUUCGGGUUGUAAAGCCCUUUUGUUGGGAAAGAAAUCCAGCUGGCUAAUACCCGGUUGGGAUGACGGUACCCAAAGAAUAAGCACCGGCUAACUUCGUGCCAGCCGCCGCGGUAA
rnacentral:rRNA from 1 species